GACAGAGGGUGCGAACGUUGUUCGGAAUUACUGGGCGUAAAGCGCGUGUAGGCGGUACGACAAGUCGGGUGUGAAAGCCCUGGGCUCAACCCAGGAAGUGCAUUCGAUACUGUCGCACUAGAGUCCCGGAGAGGAUGGUGGAACUCUCGGUGUAGAGGUGAAAUUCGUAGAUAUCGAGAAGAACACCGGUGGCGAAGGCGGCCAGUCGUGGACGGUGAUCUGACGGAGGCGACGAAGCCGGGGUAGCAAAACGGGG
rnacentral:rRNA from 1 species